rnacentral:sRNA from 1 species
GGAUUCCCCUAGUAACUGCGAGUGAAGAGGGAAAAGCUCAAAUUUAAAAUCUGGCAGUUUCACUGUCCGAGUUGUAAUUUAGAGAAGUGUUGCCCGCGUUGGACCGUGUACAAGUCUCCUGGAAUGGAGCGUCAUAGAGGGUGAGAAUCCCGUCUUUGACACGGACUCCCAGUGCAUUGUGGUGCGCUCUCGAAGAGUCGAGUUGUUUGGGAAUGCAGCUCUAAAUGGGUGGUAAAUUCCAUCUAAAGCUAAAUAUUGGGGAGAGACCGAUAGCGAACAAGUACCGUGAGGGAAAGAUGAAAAGAACUUUGGAAAGAGAGUUAAACAGUACGUGAAAUUGCUGAAAGGGAAACGCUUGAAGUCAGUCGCGUUAGCUGGGGAUCAGCCUUCCUUUUGGUUGGUGUACUUCCUAGUUGAUGGGUCAGCAUCAGUUUUGACCGGUGGAUAAAAGCUUGAGGAAUGUGGCAUCUUCGGGUGUGUUAUAGCCUCUUGUUGUAUACAUUGGUUGGGACUGAGGAACUCAGCACGCCGCAAGGCCGGGUCUUUGACCACGUUCGUGCUUAGGAUGCUGGCAUAAUGGCUUUAAUCGACCCG